AUUUGCAUCAGGAGAUUAUCUUGCAGCAAUUAAUGCUUAUAACUUGGGAAUACAAUUGAAUAAUAAACUUCCAGCCCUAUACCUGAACAGGGCUGCAAGCCACCUUAAACUAAGAAAUUUACACAAAGCCAUUGAAGACUCCUCCAAGGCACUUGAUUUGUUAACUCCUGCUGUUCCAGACAAUGCAAGUAGCAGACUAAAAGCCCAUGUUAGAAGAGGGGCGGCACUUUGUGAGCUGGAACUCUACGUGGAAGGCCUUCAGGAUUAUGAAGCUGCUCUCAAAAUUGACCCAAGCAACAAGACAAUACAAGAUGAUGCAGAAAAGAUACGUCAAGUGAUUCAAGGAACACCUCCAGAUCCCUGAAAGCAAGAUUCUGCUGCUCUGUCUCAUUGUUAAGAAAUUGAAGCUUGAAUCAUGAUUCUGCUUGAUGAUCGAGUGGUCUCCAUUUUGAACAAUUUAUAGCAAACUCCUGCAUAUCAUUGAUAACAAGGUGUAGAGCUGGAUGAACACAGCAGGCCAAGCAGCAUCAGAAGAGCAGGAAAGCUGAUGUUUCGGGUCUGGAUUCUGCAAAUCACUAAUGUUAUUGCGGCCAGUCUUCACGGAGAGCUUUAGGGUGUUAUUGUAGCAUUUUCUUUGUCAUCCUCUGUAAUAGUGGCAUCUGAAAUUUGUGAAAACAGGACUUGAUGGGGUAGAUGCUUUUCAGCAAUCCAGUCUAUUGUUGUUGAUUUUGCAGAUGUUUUCCAUGAGUAAUUGGAGAACUGGCUUAAAGCAUUAUUCAUACACUAGCACUUAUUCAAUGGCCCAUUGAUGCCAGUGACUUGGGAGGACACAUUGCCGGUGGUAUUUCUCUAGGGCUGUUAUGUGUCACUAAUUAAUAUACAGUCCCAACCUCAUUACAGUACAGGAGUUCCACAAACUACAGCAUUGAGUGUUUGACAACAAAGUGCUCCACUAGUCAACAGCAUGCCUAGUGUAGAUAGCUGGUUGUUAUCACCACAUUGCUGUACUGCAAUGAGAACUAGACUGAGUAAUGCCAAUUUGGCUGCUCAGAUAACAUAGUGCUACAUAUGCAAUUUCAAACAAACAGUACUGCCUUUGCCAUUUGUAACUUAACAACGAAAAUUCCUCAUAUUUUUGGAAUAACUACUUGAGUAACGCAAUGGAGACUUUUAAGUCAAAUUAAACAAUUAUAUAGUCCCAGCAGCCUAUCGGUUAAUUUGAAUAUCAUUUAUCUAAAGUGUUAAUGAUUUUAUGUGAAUUUUAAAAUGAUAAUUUUAUGAUAAAGCUAUAAUGAUAAAUUGGAACAGCAUAUUAUUAUACUGCCAUAAUUGUAUUUUCAAAGACAUUUUUAAACCUGAAGUUUUAAUUUAAUAGUGAAAUUAGGUAAUUCUUCUGGAACAGAAGACAAGUGCAAAAGAGAAUGUGAGAAUAUAGAAAGGAGAAAAUUAAAAUGAUUAUUUAAAGAGGAAAGGGGAAUGGAUCCAACAGUAGCCCGAUGUUUCCAACAUCACUGAGAUAUGCAACAAAGACAAAAUUGAUGAACAAGUGAGGAGGAGAGAAGGAGAUUCAAGACAAUUUGCUGAAGAACAGUAUCUUAAAAGAAGACAUGAUAUUGACAUUAAAGAGUUCCUGGACUGUGGUUAUCUGUUCUUAUUGUGAAAUAAUCGAACAGACUUUCACAGGAAUUGUUUUAUUGGUGAUGAUUGCCAUCUUAUUUGCUUUUUUUAAAAAUAGUCCAUGAUAUUUACCAUGAUAAAUGUAGCAUGCUAAGGUGAACUGGGAUUGAGUAAAUUUUACAGUUUUAUCUUGUACUAGGUUAUUGUGCUUUAAUUAUUAAACUGUCUGAUAUUAUCUCAUUUAACGUAGUUAGAUGCAUAAUUGUGUUUGUGAAAUAUCUGAUACCUCAGAAUAGGCAAACAUUAUUGAUACCGCAUGUAAUGAUGAUUCGUACCUGAAUAGAGCCUAAUCUUUUAAUUUAAGUUGGGUUUAUAUGGGUAAUUCCAGAGAAGUUAAAUCAAUUUUUUAUACAAUAUCUUAGAUUCAUGUAAAUUCUGAUACUUCUGUUUCAAUAAUAUUCUGGGAUCUUUCAGACAGUUGCUAUAUGCUCACAAUGAGCAUUCUGACUCCAUAAAUGUACUGGUAAAUGCUGGUAA